GACGAACGCUGGCGGCGUGCUUAACACAUGCAAGUCGAACGGAAAGGCCCCUUUGUUGGUACUCGAGUGGCUGACGGGGGGGUAAGACGUACGUGAGCUUCCCUUGCCUUCGUGAUAGCUUCAUGAAAGUGGGGCUGAUACCGAAUAGGAAUCCUUUCUUGAUGCUGGGGGUUGGAAAGCUACUGGCGGUUUUGCUGGGCUCUCGGGUUAACUGCUUGCUGGUGGGGGAGUUGAUUACCAAGGCUUUGUCGGGUAGGCAGCCUGAGGGGGUGACCGGCCAUAUUGGGACCUAGAUAAGGCCCAGACUGCUAAGGGAUGGAGCAGGGGGGAAUAUUGACCAAUGGGCGGAAGGCGGAUGAAGCAACGCCGCGUGCCGGAUGACGGCCUUAGGGGUGUAAAACGUUUUUAGCAGGGGCGGAGCUUGUGGUGACGGUACCUGAAGAAGAAGCACCGGCUAACUACGUG
rnacentral:rRNA from 1 species